AAGAAAUUAAAAUUAACACAUUUUCUAGGUUCCUGGAAGGGUUGUGUGCCUAACAGAGAGAUCAGUCCUGCUGCCUUCUUCCUUCGCUUCUGAGCUCUUGUCGACCAAAAGCAGUGUUCCCAGAUCUCCCAGGAUAGCAGUUUACCUGUUGUCACCCACUUCUCACUGACAUCCAAGAUUUGUUUAGAAAAUGGUUGGAUCCUACAGCAUCCUUCCUCAAAAUUGGAAAUUCUAAAAUUGAAGACAAUUCUUGAUAUUGCUGUGAAGAAACUACAAGUAGCCAUAAUGCAAAUAAAAACAGAAGAAGCUAAGCUAAGAAAAGAAGGAUUCAACAAACAGCUUAUCCUGAGCCACUAUAACGAGGAAGAGGUGAACACCAUCCCUGAAGAUUCCCAGUGUUUCUGGCUAGAGUUGCUGAGGAGGAGGACUAAUAUGCCGACAAUCAAGAAGCCUGACCAGAAUUUGAAAAAGUUCCAUUAUGCUCUGACAGAUGGUUCCUCUCUGACCUAAUAUCCUUGUGAAACGCCAAUGGUUGAAGAAGGAUGGGACGGGUCAGGAGUGGUAAAGGGGCAGCAGGUGGAGUGUUUCUGUUUCAGCAGAAAAUCCCAGAAGCAUUAAAAAAGGAG
rnacentral:lncRNA from 1 species